rnacentral:rRNA from 1 species
GACGAACGCUGGCGGCGUGCUUAACACAUGCAAGUCGAACGGAAAGGCCCUGCUUUUGUGGGGUGCUCGAGUGGCGAACGGGUGAGUAACACGUGAGUAACCUGCCCUUGACUUUGGGAUAACUUCAGGAAACUGGGGCUAAUACCGGAUAGGAGCUCCUGCUGCAUGGUGGGGGUUGGAAAGUUUCGGCGGUUGGGGAUGGACUCGCGGCUUAUCAGCUUGUUGGUGGGGUAGUGGCUUACCAAGGCUUUGACGGGUAGCCGGCCUGAGAGGGUGACCGGCCACAUUGGGACUGAGAUACGGCCCAGACUCCUACGGGAGGCAGCAGUGGGGAAUAUUGCACAAUGGGCGGAAGCCGGAGGCAGCAACGCCGCGUGCGGGAUGACGGCCUUCGGGUUGUAAACCGCUGUCGCCUGUGACGAAGCGUGAGUGACGGUAAUGGGUAAAGAAGCACCGGCUAACUACGUG